ensembl:rRNA 5S_rRNA 5S ribosomal RNA
AACUACAGCCAUAUCACUCUGCAGCCCAAGACCGGAUCCUCACUGAAGCUAAGCAGGGCUGAGCCUGGUCGGUACCUGAAUGGGAGACCACAUGGGAAAGCUAGGUUGGUGUUGAAA